rnacentral:rRNA from 1 species
AUUGAACGCUGGCGGAAUGCUUUACACAUGCAAGUCGAACGGUAGAGGGGGCAACCCCUCGAGAGUGGCGAACGGGUGAGUAAUAUAUCGGAACGUGCCCAGUCGUGGGGGAUAACGUAGCGAAAGUUACGCUAAUACCGCAUACGAUCUAAGGAUGAAAGCGGGGGAUCGCAAGACCUCGCGCGAUAGGAGCGGCCGAUAUCAGAUUAGGUAGUUGGUGGGGUAAAGGCCCACCAAGCCAACGAUCUGUAGCUGGUCUGAGAGGACGACCAGCCACACAGGAACUGAGACACGGUCCAGACUCCUACGGGAGGCAGCAGUGGGGAAUUUUGGACAAUGGGCGAAAGCCUGAUCCAGCCAUUCCGCGUGCAGGAUGAAGGCCCUCGGGUUGUAAACUGCUUUUGUACAGAACGAAAAGGUUUCUACUAAUACUAGGAGCUCAUGACGGUACUGUAAGAAUAAGCACCGGCUAACUACGUGCCAGCCGCCGCUGUAA